UGCAGUCGAGCGGGCCCUUCGGGGUCAGCGGCGGACGGGUGAGUAACGCGUGGGAACGUGCCUUCUGGUUCGGAAUAACUCAGGGAAACUUGAGCUAAUACCGGAUACGCCCUUUUGGGGAAAGGUUUACUGCCGGAAGAUCGGCCCGCGUCUGAUUAGCUAGUUGGUGGGGUAACGGCCUACCAAGGCGACGAUCAGUAGCUGGUCUGAGAGGAUGAUCAGCCACACUGGGACUGAGACACGGCCCAGACUCCUACGGGAGGCAGCAGUGGGGAAUAUUGGACAAUGGGCGCAAGCCUGAUCCAGCCAUGCCGCGUGAGUGAUGAAGGCCUUAGGGUUGUAAAGCUCUUUUAUCCGGGACGAUAAUGACGGUACCGGAGGAAUAACCCCGGCUAACUUUCUUGCCAGCAGCCACGGUAAACGAAGGGGGGGGGGGGGGGCUCUGAAUCCUUGGGG
rnacentral:rRNA from 1 species